UGAUGAUGUUACUGUUAUGGUCAUUUCACUUGAAGGAAGAAUCUGGAAAUCCUCAGGAAAAUAUCUUUGAAAAACUUCUGUAAAUCACUGGUCAAGUGAAAUGGCAUUCGUGCAUUCAACCCAAAUGGCGCUCUGCGAGUGGUAUGAACGUGCAACCGACCCAUAUUUCAUGGAUCGUCUUAGGUUUUCUAACAUUUCAAGGAGCAAGCCAG
rnacentral:misc_RNA from 1 species